GCCGAGGUCGCCUCUGGAUUCCGGUCCCUGGGAGCGGAGGCGCGGGGCUGCACAUGCGCACUACGGGUCGUCGCCUACUCCCAGAAACCACCGGGGCCCACAGGCGGUGCGGCCGGUGCUUCAGGGAUCAGUGACAUUCUAAGAUGUGGCCAUUGACUUCUCCAAGGAAGAGUGGGGAUUCUUGAACCCUGUUCAGAGAGAUUUGUACGCAUCUGUGAUGUUGGAGAAUUAUCGGAACCUGGUCUGGCUGGGCCUUUCCAUUUCUAAAUCUGUGAUUUCACUGUUGGAGAAAAGAAAACGGCCUUGGAGAGUGGCAAGAGCUAAGAGGCCCAUUGCCAGCUGUACCAGGUGCAGAGACUAAGGAGUCAUCCAUAAAAAGGCUAUUAAUGAAGUAUUAUCUCAGUUUGACACAGUGACAAAAUGCACAAGAAACAUAUGUAAGGAAUGUGGAAAUGUAUACUGCCACAGUACGCAGCUUACUCUCCAUCAGAGAAGUCAUACGCGAAAGAAAUUCAAUCAGUGUUUACAUUGUGGGAAAUACUUCAUUGAUCAACUCUCAUUCAGCAUCAAGAAUCUACACAGGAGAGAGACCCUGUGCAUGUAGCGAAUGUAGUGAAACCUUCAAUCAGAGGUUACACCUUACCCAGCAUGAGAGAAUUCACACGGGUGAGAAACCUCACGCAUGUAAGGAAUGUAUGAAAACCUUCAGCCAGAUGACGCAUCUCACCCAGCAUCAGAGUACACAUACGAGACGAAAGUUCUGUGACUGUGGAAAGGCAUUCAGCUGUUCCUCCGCCCUUAUGGAUCCGCAGCAAGUUCAUAGUGGAGAAAAGCCGUAUGAAUGUAAGGAGUGUGGCAGAGCCUUCACUCAAAGUGCACAACUCAGUAAACUUCAGAAAACUCAUUCUGGAGAGAAACCCUCUGAGUGUAGUAAGUCUAAGAAAUCUUUUGUGCGCCUAUCUUCCUUGAUUGAACAUUGGAGAAUUCACACUGGAGAAAAGCCUUAUCAAUGUAAGGACUGCAAAAAGACCUGCUGUCGUGUCAUGCUGCUCACUCUGCACAGGAGAAUUCAUACUGAUGAGAAACCCUAUGAAUGUAAGGAAUGUGGAAAGGCCUUCACUGCCUCCUCUUCCCUUGUCACCCGUAAGAGAACACACAGUGGAGAGAAACCAUAUAAAAGCAAGGAAUGUGGAAAGGCCUUCACUGCCUCCUCUUCCCUUGUCACCCGUAAGAGAACACACAGUGGAGAGAAACCAUAUAAAAGCAAGGAAUGUGGAAAGGCCUUCACUGCCUCCUCUUCCCUUGUCACCCGUAAGAGAACUCACAGUGGAGAGAAACCCUAUUAAUGCCAUGCCUGUGGGAAGUCCCUUAAUGCUUCCUCAACACUUUGUCAACGUGAGCUAAUUCCUACUGGUGAAAGACCCUUUUGGUGCAGUCACUGCGGGAAGUCCUUUAGACACCGUUUUCACUGUACUCGACGCUAGAAUGUGUAGUGGAAAAUGUUGUCCAAUAUCCAGUACUUGAAAUGUUAAUUCUGAUUGUUCCACGUCGUGACCAGCACUUUGUAUUCUGAGUCUUCUAAAAUACGCUUUCUUAGUUUCUGCAGAAUACUUAACUGCACUUUUAAUUUAACUUAAAAAUGCUGUCCCUUGACGAUACAUAUUUGUUUGUAAAGUGUGUGUUGAAGUCUUUUGCAGAUUAUUUUUUAAAUUAGAGGUUGUUCUUAGCUUGCAAUUAUGAGAGUUGUUCAUCAGAUUUUGGAAAUAUUUUCUACUAUUCUGUAACCUACCUUUUCAUUUACAUAAUGGUGAUAAAAGCUUUCAAUUGAUGACAUUCAAUUAAUCACUUUUUUUUUUUUGAGGCGGAGUUUCACUCGUUACCCAGGCUGGAGUGCAGUGGCGUGAUCUCGGCUCACCGCAACCUCCGCCUCCUGGGUUCAGGCAAUUCUCCUGCCUCAGCCUCCCGAGUAGCUGGGAUUACAGGCACGCGCCACCAUGCCCAGCUAAUUUUUUGUAUUUUUAGUAGAGACGGGGUUUCACCAUGUUGACCAGGAUGGUCUCGAUCUCUUGACCUUGUGAUCCACCCACCUCGGCCUCCCAAAGUGCUGGGAUUACAGGUGUGAGCCGCCACGCCCGGCCCAAUCACAUUUUAUAAAUGGUUAUACUUUUACUUAUUUUUCAGACAGGGUCUCACUCUGUCACCCAGGCUGGAGUGCAGUGGUACAAUCAUGGCUCACUGCAGUCUCUGCCUCCUGGGCUCAAGCAGUCCUCCCACCUCAGCCUCCCAAUAGCUGGGACUACAGGCAUGUGCCAGCACACCCAACUAAUUUUUUUUUUUUUUUUUUUUUUUUUGAGACAGAGUUUCGCUCUUGUUACCCAGGCUGGAGUGCAGUGGCAUGACCUCAGCUCACCGCAAUCUCUGCCUCCUGGGUUCAGGCAGUUCUCCUGCCUCAGCCUCCCGAGUAGCUGGGAUUACAGGCAUGUGCCACCAUGCCCAGCUAAUUUUUUGUAUUUUUAGUAGAGACGGGGUUUCACCAUGUUGACCAGGAUGCUCUCGAUCUCUUGACCUCGUGAUCCACCCACCUCGGCCUCCCAAAGUGCUGUGAUUACAGGUGUGAGCCGCCACACCCGGCCCAAUCACAUUUUAUAAUGGUUAUGCUUUUACUUAUUUUUCAGAGAGGAUCUCACUCUUGUCACCCAGGCUGGAGUGCAGUGGCACAAUCAUGGCUCACUGCAGUCUCUGCCUCCUGGGCUCAAGCAGUUCUCCCACUUCAGCCUCCCAAGUAGCUGGGACUACAGGCGUGUGCCAGCACACCCAACUAAUUUUUUUUUUUUUUUUGAGACAGAGUUUCGCUCUUGUUGCCCAGGCUGGAGUGCAGUGGCAUGACCUCUGCCUCCCAGAUUCAAGUGAUCCCCCUGCCUCAGUCUCCCGGGUAGUGGGGAUUACAGGAAUGUGCCACCAUGCCUGGCUAAUUUUGUAGUUUUAGUAGAGAUGGAGUUUCUCCAUGCAGGUCAGGCUGGUCUUGAACUCCCAACCUCAGGUGAUCCACUUUCCUUGGCCACCCAAAGUGCUGGGGUUACAGGUGUUAACAAAUUUCUCUAGGCUGGGUAUGGUGGCUCAUGCCUAUAAUCCCAGCACUUUGGGAGGGCCAGGUGGGAGGAGCACUUGAGCCCAGAAGAUCAAGACCAGCCCAGGCAACAUAGCAAGACCUUGUCUCUACAAAAAAAUUUAGAAAUUAGCAGCAUGUGACUUGUAUGAAAACAGCCUUUUGCAUAGCAAGAGUAACACUAUCUUGAAGUGAAACUGCGAUAAUGAUCAGCGUUUGAGUCCUGCACAAGACAGUCCUUCAGCAAGAUCAAGAAGCAGUGACUCGAGCACAGAUGAUGCCUCAUAGAUACUUCUGCAGCUUUCCCGCUGGGUCAUAGGUUUCACAAGAGGGUCUGAAAAGUGAUGAGCGGCGUGCGUAUGUUCUACCAAAACAGCUUGUGAUGUUGUGAGUGCAGGAAUCCGCCACCUCACAGCUGCUGGAGAAACGACUUCUCUUCUGACAUCCCUAUUAAAUGUUUCUUUCUGAGGAGUCGGAUUUGCCAGCGUUUCUUCAGCCUUCCCGUUCCCUCAACCUUUGCAGUGAGCAUUUGAACGGCAACAUUGUAUUAACACCGAGGACAGUAUACAAUUUUAGGAAAGGCGCCCUCUGCUGUCUAAUUCCGCAGUGGCAUGAUCUUGGCUUACUGCAGCCUCGACCUCCUAAGCUCAAGCCAUCCUCCUGCCUCAGACUCCUCACAGGUGGGCACCACCAUGCUCAGCUAAUUUUUGUAUUUUUUUGUAGAGAUGUGGUUUCACCAUAUUGCCCAGGCUGGUCUGAAACUACUGGGCUCAAGCAAUCUACCUGCCUUGGCCUCCCAAAGUGCUGGGAUUAGGGGCAUGAGCCACCACGCCCAGCCUACAAAUGCUUUUUGAUGAGAAUUUUGUUCCAGUCAAUGUGCUAAAAGGGUACUAACUUUUAAAUGUUGCCAUUAAGUUCAAAUGCACCUUUUCAUACUUUGAAGAGAUGUACGUACAUAACCCUUACACAUGUUCACGAUACUUCUGUAAGGACGUUGCUACAGCGGCAUAUCGAAUGUGUACAAUUCGGCUCCAGUGUGACACUACUCCUUUCCGUUUCUAUGAGGGGGAGAUUUUGUGCAGUAGCUUUAUCUCUGUGAAUGCACUUUACAGCAUUUAUUGAGGGUGAAAGAGCAGGAGAGAAUUCUGUGUUAGGAAUUUUCACAAAAACAUCGGUCAUUUACUGAACAGAACCAGUAUUCGUAACAUUUGUCAAGGUUUCAGAUACAUUGUUUUGCAGCUCUACUCACUACAGUGACCCCAGCAUGAAAGAACAUUAACAAGCUGACACCAGUACCCUCUUAAAUUCUGUCAGCAUGCCACAUGCAUUGUGAUCAACAGUAACUGGAUGUUUCUGAGGUGUUUUGAUUGGACUCAAAAGUAUUACAAUCAAUUUGGAGACAAAAGCAAAAUCUGCAUUUUAGUUUAAGUAUGACAACUUACAACUUUAAAAAAAAAACCUGUAUGUAAAAGUUCUAUAGAAAGUUUCCCUCCAAAACAGUUUUCUUUUCCUGAAAGAUGCGGUCUCAUUCUGUUGCCCAGGCUGGAGUGCAGAGGCGCAAUCGUGGUAUAAUACAGCCUCAACCUCUCUGGCUCAGGUGAGCGCAGGUGAUGCUUCCCGCUCGGCCUUCUGAGUAGCCGGCAUUACAGGCAUGAGUUACUACACCAGGCUGCAGAAAGGUUUUAAUAUGUGAACCUAUUAACACGACGGACUAACGUUGUGCCCACUGAAAUCUCUUUCCUAUCGUGUCCUCAUGUUCUUCUGCCUUUCAUAUACAUUGACUUCUAUGCUUCUCCUUUUAGAAACAUAAAAUUCUUCUUUUGUUCCUAGUUUUUGUUUAAAAAACCAUCUGAAUGUGUACCCUUGCUUAUGUGAAGAAGCAUGACCUACCAGUCACCGCUACAUAGUCAGCAUUGUAAGAGCUGGUACUCUUUGGUUCACGUGACGGUUGGCAUUCUUGCAUUUAUGUCCAUGGAUGUCACCUGUGUGGACUUGUUCCGUAUUUACGUUAACUAGCUAACUUACUGAAUUGUUGAAACUAAAAAACUUAAAAACGUGCUUAUAGCAAAGGGGGAGGGAUUACGUCCAAAGAACCCAGGAGCCAGUUUGAAAGGGUGUCACCAGCCAAAUUUGGAAAAACGUGAACGUUGUGAUAAAUAAUGAUAAUGGAUAAUAAUCUGUUACUGAGUAAAAGCAGCUUUAUAAGAUGAGAAAAAGUGUGCCCCUACUAUGAAUCCAUAUGAUAUAAAUGAAGAAACAAACGGUAAAAGGGAGAAAGCCCUUCUUCACGGGGGUGUGUGAACUAAUACAGAAAGAAUAAUUAAGUUUUCUAAAAUCACUAUUUUGUAAUUAUCAAACAGAUCUGACCCAAGAGAAAACCAUCAGUGAAUUCUGAGACCAGAAGGUUUGUGAGGAGCACCAUAUUUAUAUCCUCUCAAGGUAGAUUAUAAAAUCAUGGCUUAGCAAACACACAGGAACAGAAAACCAAACACUGCAUGUUCUCACUUAUAAGUGGGCGCCAACACAUGGACACAUAGAGUGGGACAACACAUGCUGGCCUUUUGGAGAAUGGAGAGUAGGAAGAGGGAGAGAAUCAGUAAGAAUAACUAAUGGGUACUAGGCUUAAUAUCUGGGUAAGGAAAUAAUUUGUACAGUAAACCCCCAUGACACAGGUUUACCUAUUUAACAAACCUGCACUUCUACUCCUGAACUUAAAAGUGAAAAAAAAAAUGUUUAAUUAAAAUUAAAAAAUAAAGAAAAAUGGUCAAAAGAUACAUCUUUCCAAAGAGAAAAUACUUUCCUUAGGGCCACCAUAUUUGUACUCAGUCUAGCCCUAUCCUGCAGGUUGAAUUUUUACAUGUUUCACGAGGAAGGAGCAGCCACCUUUGUCGAAUGCAGCUGACAAGCUCAGGAAGACAACACGUAAGACAUAAGCUUCGAAUGUAGCAACCUGCAGGGCGGAUUUUCUAAGACAAAGGGCCACUUCCAGCUGACCUGAUACCCGAAUUGGCUGCUCCCUUGUCACUGAUACCUCACUCACCUGGGCACAGGCCUCCAGCCACCACCCUUUCCACCAUCCAGGGCUCUUUCCCUUGCUCUAGGAAGGAUAUCACAUCGGGUUUGGAAAUGGCCAGACCUGGAGAUAAGAAGAAAAAUGCCACUUGGUUACGGUGUAGGGCCCAGGAUUCAUAUCCAGGACCUGCUCAUCAAGCAGGAGACACAGUUGCAGCAGAAGAUGGGACCGUUGCCUGAGGCAGGGGAAGAUGUAGCUUCAGCCAAUAGUGCUGCCCUGUAACCCCUCAGACAUGCCCAAUCAGUCAUAAAACAACUGAUCAGGAAGGAAUACACGUGUCCAACGGUAACCUCCAAACCCACAGACUGCAUCACCUUACCCAGUGAGACCAGGUUGCUGUAGGUCUCCAACAUCACGUCUCUGUACAGAUCCCUCUGAGCAGGUGCCAGCCACUGCCAUUCUUCUUGGGAGAAGACUAUGGCCACAUCCCUGAACAAUUCUGACCCCUGGAAUGACAGGCAUGUGUGAUACAAAUGUAUUUCAAUGGGUCACAGUGGCAUGAAAGGAGGUGGUGCAGGUCUUUGCAGGGGCUGGGGUUUUUUGGUUGAACAAGAAGGGUGGGACUGAAUGUGAAAGGUUACAUUAGAAAUGUGUAUGAGUGGCCGGACGCGGUGGCUCAUGCCUGUAAUCCCAGCACUUUGGGAGGCCGAGGCGGGUGGAUCACGAGGUCAAGAGAUCGAGACCAUCCUGGUCAACAUGGUGAAACCCCGUCUCUACUAAAAAUACAAAAAUUAGCUGGGCAUGGUGGCGUGGGCACGGUGGCGCGUGCCUGUAGUCCCAGCUACUCGGGAGGCUGAGGCAGGAGAAUUGCUUGAACCCAGAAGGCAGAGGCUGCGGUGAGCCGAGACAGCGCCAUUGCACUCCAGCCUGGGUAACAAGAGCGAAACUCCGUCUCAAAAAAAAAAAAAAAAAAAAAAAGAAAUGGGUAUGAGUAAAACAGAAUGUUCAAAUGUUCUCAAACACUCCUUGUAACUGCAAAUCAAAGCUCUGUGCACAAGUCCGGGAUGAAAAUGGAGUUAAAUGGAGUUUUCCUUAUUUAAGAAACAGUGUAAUAACACACACAGCCCACUCUGUACUUGGCAUACAAUAAAUUCUCAAGGUGAGACAUAUCA